rnacentral:rRNA from 1 species
AUUGGACGCUGGCGGCAUGCUUUACACAUGCAAGUCGAACGGUAACAGGGAGCUUGCUCCGCUGACGAGUGGCGAACGGGUGAGUAAUGCGUCGGAACGUGCCGAGUAGAGGGGGAUAACGCAGCGAAAGUUGUGCUAAUACCGCAUACGUACUGAGGUAGAAAGUGGGGGACCUUCGGGCCUCACGCUAUUCGAGCGGCCGACGUCUGAUUAGCUAGUAGGUGAGGUAAAGGCUCACCUAGGCGACGAUCAGUAGCGGGUCUGAGAGGAUGAUCCGCCACACUGGGACUGAGACACGGCCCAGACUCCUACGGGAGGCAGCAGUGGGGAAUUUUGGACAACGGGCGAAAGCCUGAUCCGGCCAUGCCGCGUGUCUGAAGAAGGCCUUCGGGUUGUAAAGGACUUUUGUCGGGGAGGAAAUCCCCAGCGCUAAUACCGCUGGGGGAUGACAGUACCUGAAGAAUAAGCACCGGCUAACUACGUGCCAGCCGCCGCAGUAAAAC